rnacentral:misc_RNA from 1 species
GACGAACCGUGCAAGCGUUAUUCGGAAUCACUGGGCUUAAAGGGUGCGUAGGCGGCCAGAAGGGUGGGGUGUGAAAUCCCUCGGCUUAACCGAGGAAUUGCGCUCCAAACCGCCUGGCUGGAGUGAGGCAGAGGUGAGCGGAACUGAUGGUGGAGCGGUGAAAUGCGUUGAUAUCAUCAGGAACACCAGAGGCGAAGGCGGCUCACUGGGUCUCUACUGACGCUGAUGCACGAAAGCUAGGGUAGCGAACGGG